GAGGGUAAUUAUGUCCGUAUGGUCUAGCACGGAGCCACUCGAUUUCAUGUUAUUUACAACAAAACCAUCAGAUCUCCGCUCACACCAGUCUCCAAUGGUGAACAGAAGUCCUUUUCGAAACCCAACCCCUUCGAGACCAAAUCACUAAAACCCGGCAGAGCUGACGCCAAUCACAACCAUGAGACGGCGGCGACGGUGAAGAAGAAAAAGAAUAAAUUAGGCCCGAACGCUGUCGCCAUGAAGCACCAGGUCCCCCUAAAACCCAACCCGUUGGAGACCAUUUGGUCCCGAAGGAAAUUCGACGUUCUCGGCAAAAGCGCAAAGGCGAAGAGCGCCGAGUUGGCCUCUCCCGCUCUCGCGCCAUUGAAAAGAGGAAGAACACGUUGCUGAAGGAGUACGAGCAGAGCAAUAAAGCUUCGGUCUUUGUCGAUAAACAAAUUGGGGAGCAUAAUGACGAGCUCAAUGAGUUCGAUAAAGCCAUUCGGCGUGCGCAGCGCGAGCAUCGAGUGUGGAAUGCAACUACUGGGUCAAAGUUGUAUACUUUCCAAGGUCAUGAUGCUCCCGUGCAUUCUGUGUGCCCUCAUAACAAACAAAAUGUCCAUUUUUUCUUUUCAACAUCAGUAAAUGGAAAAAUAAAAGCAUGGCUAUACGACAAUAUGGGAUACCAGGUGGAUUACGAUGCUCCUGAUCACUCAAUCACGACAAUGGCCUAUGGUGCAGAUGGUAAAAGGAUGGCUCUUUUCAUGCGGGACAAGUAAAGAUGGAGAAUCUCAUGUUGUUGAAUGGAAUGAAAAUGAUGGUGUAACAAAGAGGAAUUACGUAGGAUUUCAAAAACCAUCUUUGGGUGUUGUUCAGUUUGAUACAAGCAAGAAUAAGUAUUUGGCUGUUGGCGAUGACUAUGCAAUCAAAGUUUGGGGUAUGGAUAAAAUCAAUAUUUUGACCACUGUUGAUGCUGAAGGCGGUCUACCAGAAACUUGGAUUCGCAAAGGAUACCACAAUCUAUUUGACCGAAUCAAAAUGGGACAGCAAUCUUGAUGAUCUGAAAGACAUCUUCCCGAAAACGUAUAUCAAGGAUGGCACUAUCCCAGCAGACAAGAAGUCAAAGUACCUGGAUUCUGAAUUAGUUAUAGAAAGCUGCUUGGAACCCCUACUGGUGCAUUUCUAGAUCUGUUCUCUACUGUUCGAGAAAGCUGCUUCACUGCUUAAGAGAAGAGCAAGAGAUAAUGUGCACGAAAAUUCCUGAAAUCAGAUACAUAUCAAACCAGGACGGACUCCUGCAGUUUGAUAAUUGUAGUAUUUCAUACUCUUUUUCUAAGGGGGUUGCAGCACAAAACUUUAUGAUUAUGCAAGAGAUACUGAUAUUGCUAAUCACAUGUUUUCAGUUUUUUUUUUUUUUUUUUUUUUUUGUGAUUUUUAUGUGGUGUUUAUAUGUGCAGGCGACAGUCGCCUUGAGGUUGGUCUCAAACGGUUUCUCAUCAACUCAUCUACCAAAUCCACAAAACCAACUGCAGCUUCUUUGACUGAAUGAACUGGUGCCUUUACUGCCUGCUUGGACUUUUUCUUCAUGGAUCUGAAUUUCAAUACAGAAGGAACAACCCUUGGAAGUGGAAAUCCCUCCAAGGCCUCCCCAGAAGAGAGAGUGGAGGGGGCUAUUGCAUCUUCAAAUUAUUUUAAAGCCAUGUUUAUGGAA